CAUGCAUUCACACAUGCGAAGUAAUGCCAGUUUAUCUGCAUAACCAAGCGUUUAUCAAGUGUAUUCUCUUUCUACCCUAUGUUACAAUCUUCUGCCUGUUUAUUGGUUUCACGUUUCUGAAUUACCCUUUCUUUCUGGUUGGCUUUACUGUAUUGUUUGCCUGUUGCCUAACCCUGCCUGAUAUUCUGACCACGUUUGAGCUUUCUGACUUGGAUUUGUUUAAUAAACUAUUCUGCAUAAUGGAUUCUAACCCAAUCUCCAGUCUGAGUUUGUUACAGAAUACUUCGCCUGAUCAGGAUCCAGCGGAAGUGUCAUAGCUUCAAGCAGCCUUUAACUACCAGAGCGGAGUCUUGCAUGAAUUCCAAACUAAGCUCACCAGUCUGCGUGCCGCUAAUGAACAUCUGACUCAGUAUAUUCACUCCCUUUCACCUACAAGAGCUGAAACGGAAAAGCACUGGAUUGGGCAUCAGCUGUCUGGGACAUGGACGAUCAGCAGGUGGAAUGAUAUUGCUCUGAACUCCGUCUUCCGAGAGGGGCUUAACCACCAUUUACAAGCGGAACUUGCAUGCAGAGGUGAAACAUCCACCCUAUCUCAAUAAAUCAACAUGGCUGUCAAGAUGGAUAAUUUAAUUCGAAAUAACCCCCAAGCAAAAAUGUCUCAUGCCUCUUCACCACCAAACACCUCAACCAGUCAUUCAACUCAAGAACUACCCAAAUCCAUGCAAAUAGGAUUUGCCAGGUUAUCAUCAGAUGAACGCCACGACGUCAGUGUGAAAGACGGUGUUUUUACUGUGGACAAUCAGGUCAUCAAUGUGCUGUAUGCCCCAAUAAAACCAAGACCUCCAGGAAUGAGGUGAGUGAGGGGAUUUCUCCAUGUAGGCAUAAUUUCAAACUACCACUAACGAUUGAUUGGCUGUAUAACACUGCCCACCUACUAUAAGCAUUAAAAGCUGUUGGUGACUGUCUCAAGACUGUACUACAGACCUUCCUGGACCCAGCGCAUCACCCAAAGUCAUGCCUACUUCAGCAGGGGAUGAUGCCCCUGUAGGAAACCCUGACAUCAGCAAUUGGUUCGACAAGUUUUGUAUGGAGCUUGGCUACAGCAAUCUAAUGUUCAUAACAUCUCAUGGAUCAGACUGCCCGCAUCCAGAUGCUGCAACUCUUAAUGGAGACGACGACACGGGCGGCAUUAUUGGUGUAAAGGGUAUACAUUUUAUAAAAGCCAUCAUAGUGGUCAUUCUGGAUCAUCUCGUCGACAUAAAGUUAAAAGAGUUGUGCUACGGUUGUGAAGUGGAUCACCCCAGUCAGAUCCAGCUUACAUGUUUGUUUGAUCCUGACAAUAUUUAUUUUACACACACUUUGAAGAACUUUCCUGUAAACUGUUUAAACCUGUGUUAAAAGGAGUCAUCGGCCAGGCAUUCAAAGCUUUUGGACUGACACCACAUCCUCAGAGAAUCCAUGGAGUUGUCGAAGGCAUGUUGUGUGAAUUAAGAGAGGAGCAGCACAUUCUACAGAGACUGUGUGAAAUCCAUGAGAAGCUGGUGAAUGAUAGCUGUGAACAGGUUGUCUAUGAUGCUGUGGACAGGUGGAAAAACUGUUCAUCUGUUUCCAAAGUUUGACGCGAACAUGGGUAACUGAUUAAAUAUUUAAUUUUGUCUUCUCUAUUAAAUAGAUGAGACAUCAUCUUCAAUGUGAAAUAACCAACAUGCUGUAUAAGAUCAUUGAUGAUGAGCGUGCUGGACCAAACAAGCUUGUAAAUGUGCCCUAUAUUAACAAAUGGUUGAUUUGUCUAAAGAAGCACAUGGACAUAGUCAGGGGUCUAUCAAACAACUGGACUGAAAUGAUACAACUCUAUGCUGGCCUGAAUGAUUCACAUUGUGUGAUGCUUAAAAACAUUCUAAUUUCUUUGUUUGAAUGCGAUAAUGUCUUUAAAGUGGCUGACAUAACAUGCUUAUGUACAUAUGUAACGACAAUGUGAUGUGAUGUUAUUGUCAAGAAAUGUGUGAUUAGUUAUGUUUUUGAAAAUGUUGAUACUCUGGUUAAUUACCUGAUUAACAAAA